UUUGGUGGUGAGCAAAAGCCAUUGAUCACUGCAAUUAGUUUAUGUUCAAGGUAUUGAACUUUAGCUUCUUCUUUUUUAUGAAUUUUAGUGAGAGGGCAUGCUUGAUAUUCAAUUUGAGAAUUGAACCUUCCAAACAAAAGUGAAGCUUAAAUAUUGACAUCUAUUGCUGUCAUUCUAUAAUAUUUUUGCUUCAAGUUAAAAUUUAGUGAUGAUAAAUAUUCUAUUAUGCUUAUGAAAAUUCUCUGGUCCGCAUAACAAAAAUGAAAAUGAAAGA